GAGGGAGUGCUCGGGAUUACUGGGCUUAAGCGCGUGUAGGCGGGCUGGUAAGUGCCUUGUGAAAUCCCCGGGCUCAACCCGGGAAUGGCUUGGCAUACUGUCGGCCUUGAGGCAGGUAUGGGUCACUGGAACCUUAGGUGUAGCGGUGAAAUGCGUAGAUAUCUAAGGGAACGCCGGUGGCGAAAGCGGGUGACUGGGCCUGUCCUGACGCUGAGACGCGAAAGCGUAGGGAGCAAACGGGAUUAGAUACCCCGGUAGUCUACGCCGUAAACGAUGCGCACUAGGUUCGAGAGCCCCUGACGGUCCUCGGGCCGAAACAAAAGCGUUAAGUGCGCCGCCUGGGGAGUACGGCCGCAAGGCUAAAACUCAAAGGAAUUGACGGGGGCUCACACAAGCGGUGGAGCAUGUGGAUCAAUUCGAAGCAACGCGAAGAACCUUACCUGGGUUUGACAUGCUGGGAUGGUCGCCUUGAAAGAGGAGUGAUCUGCCCGCAAGGGUGAAACCAGUACAGGUGCUGCAUGGCUGUCGUCAGCUCGUGCCGUGAGGUGUUGGGUUAAGUCCCGCAACGAGCGCAACCCUUGUUCUUAGUUGCCACCGGGUAAUGCCGAGCACUCUAAGAAGACUGCCUACGCAAGUAGUGAGGAAGGUGGGGAUGACGUCAAGUCCGCAUGGCCCUUACGCCCAGGGCCACACACGUGCUACAAUGGCAACUACAAAGGGCAGCAGAACCGCAAGGCGAAGCCAAUCCCUAAAAAGUUGUCUCAGUUCGGAUUGGAGUCUGAAACUCGACUCCAUGAAGCUGGAAUUGCUAGUAAUCGCGCAUCAGCACGGCGCGGUGAAUACGUUCCCGGGCCUUGUACACACCGCCCGUCAAGCCAUGGAAGCUGGGGGUACCCGAAGUCACCUUUAACAAGUGCCUAAAGGUAAAACCAGUGACUGGGGCUAAGUCGUAACAAGGUAAC
rnacentral:rRNA from 1 species